CUGAUCCAGCCAUGCCGCGUGUGUGAAGAAGGCCUUAUGGUUGUAAAGCACUUUAAGCGAGGAGGAGGCUACUGAGACUAAUACUCUUGGAUAGUGGACGUUACUCGCAGAAUAAGCACCGGCUAACUCUGUGCCAGCAGCCGCGGUAAUACAGAGGGUGCGAGCGUUAAUCGGAUUUACUGGGCGUAAAGCGUGCGUAGGCGGCUUUUUAAGUCGGAUGUGAAAUCCCCGAGCUUAACUUGGGAAUUGCAUUCGAUACUGGGAAGCUAGAGUAUGGGAGAGGAUGGUAGAAUUCCAGGUGUAGCGGUGAAAUGCGUAGAGAUCUGGAGGAAUACCGAUGGCGAAGGCAGCCAUCUGGCCUAAUACUGACGCUGAGGUACGAAAGCAUGGGGAGCAAACAGGAUUAGAUACCCUGGUAGUCCAUGCCGUAAACGAUGUCUACUAGCCGUUGGGGCCUUUGAGGCUUUAGUGGCGCAGCUAACGCGAUAAGUAGACCGCCUGG
rnacentral:rRNA from 1 species